GCACAGACACAUUAUCCCUCUUGUCAAGUGACUUAGACCUGAGAUCUUCAGAAAGACUGUCUAAAAAGGCCCACUCAACAUUAGGAGACGAGGCCAUUGACUCCGCAGCAGCAAAAUAGAUGGUCCGAGAUGCCCUGACUAGUAGACCUAGCGGGCAAGACGUAUUAGAAGAAUACCAGACAACUAAAACAUUGGACCACAGAACCAGGAGAGAGAUUGCCAUCUUAGUCAGCCGCAUGAAAGAGAUGCAUGAGAGGCUUCCCACUCAUCAACAGAGAGAACGUUAUGCUCUUGUAAUUCAGGAGGCCCAACCCAUAGGAGGAAAACUGACCUGGACCAUCAGCUUGUUGGUGAUGCCUGCAAGGAGGCCAUAUCAUUCCUUGUCCACACAGGCAAUGAAAAACAAAUCUAUCAGAAGAUGUAGGAGGUAUUCCAGUAUCACCAGGAGCUAGUUUAUAGUCCAGACAGAAGCACAGAUCAGAUGUCCUCAGUCUUUCCCAGGUUUCUGGGAAUCAUACGAUUGGUGAAUCAGGACUUUUUGCUGAUGUUCGACGAUGAAACGUCCUCUAAGCUCCUUGAAAAAUGGGACACUGUAUUGAAGCCUAAAGUCAUCAAACUGGCAAAAUCCCUGACUACCACAGCUCCUGAAGUCUGCAGAAAAACUGCUGGAGAAUGACAGCAAAACCAACUGUCACAAUAUGUCCUCCCUGCUGCUUCUUCAUCUCCUCCCUCCACCAGCAUGAGGGAAGAGGACCAAACUCAGUGCCAGUGAUGCUGUCGGCAGACUAGUGCACUUUCAUAAGUCAUGCUGCAGCAUUGAAGACCAUCUUGAUGGGAGCCAUGGUCGACAGCCAUACCUCCUUGGCGUCGGAAGAAGACAGAGCAAGAUUGACAACUACUACAUCGUGGUGGACAAGAGGCUAGUUCCCUGCCAGGCAACUAGUGAUCUGUGUGCGUUUGAUGAACUAUUCAAAGUCCACUUUGUCUUUAACCUGACAAACUCAGUAAAAAAAGAAACGUCAACUGCAUUUAUUUUCAUCAAACUUAAUGUGUGUAAAUAUUUGUAUGAACAUAACAAGAUUCAACAACUGAGACAUUAAACUGAACAAGUUCCAGAGA